rnacentral:rRNA from 1 species
GCCUACGGGGGGCAGCAGUAGGGAAUCUUCCACAAUGGGCGAAAGCCUGAUGGAGAAACGCCGCGUGGGUGAAGAAGGUCUUCGGAUCGUAAAACCCUGUUGUUAGAGAAGAAAGUGCGUGAGAGUAACUGUUCACGUUUCGACGGUAUCUAACCAGAAAGCCACGGCUAACUACGUGCCAGCAGCCGCGGUAAUACGUAGGUGGCAAGCGUUAUCCGGAUUUAUUGGGCGUAAAGGGAACGCAGGCGGUCUUUUAAGUCUGAUGGGAAAGCCUUCGGAUUAACCGGAGUAGUGCAUUGGAAACG